CGAGGGGAGAGGCCCUGGCCGGAAUGCGCCUUUGUCUUGGCCACGGCCGAGCCCCGCCGGGGCCGGCCGGAUGCAAGCGGAGCUGCCGCUCGGAAAGUUUCCUGCCGCUCCUUAGUUGAGAGACGGUGCUUGGCCGGGGUGGGGCUUCUCCUGGGUCUUUGCAGCCCUCGUGGAGCCCCCGAGGGACGGCGGCCUGCUCGCUGGGGACGAGCAGGGCUUCACUCGGGCCGGCUUCGGGAGCCGCGGAAAUCGCGGUGCCGCCGGAGGGUCAAAUUCAGCAGGCCAGCAAGUUGCGAGGGCGCCUCCUGGUUGCGCUCAACUCGGUGCAGAGCGCCUCGGAAGGCGGCAUCGCUGCGACCUCCGAGGAGCCCUGAGGUUUAACCCAGCCCCCAGAGGGUUUCCGGAGGGGCUGCAGCUCACGAGUCUCCGGCAGCGCAAACCACGACGUGAGGAGGGUCUUUCUGGGCCCCCAAAGACCGACACGUUGAUUUUGGCACAAGCUUGUGUGGAGUCCAUUCGGCUUCCUCGGACGCACGAAGCGUCACCUGGGCUUGAAGGACUGGACGCCACAAAGCGAAGAAAUUCGCACACUCUAGGACUGAUGCCAGCGGAAGGUUUUCUGAACACGUGCAAACUGCUUCCUUCUCCACCCCCUGGUCUUGCCUUCCAGCGUCCACCUUGGUGGACCCCUUAGAUGCAGCUUUGGAUGGUUAUGAACUUACACAAGUAGGUGUCACGCGGCAUGCUCAACCCCCACCUCCCCACCCUGCCCCUUGGAGGGCCACUUGUUUCUGGGUGUGGGAUGCUAGCGAGGAGCUCAAGGUACCCCAAACAUGGGUGCUAAUGGCUGGACUGAAUGACUCGGAGUGAAGAUAAAGGUGUAAGGCAGUUUGGUAAAGAAUCUUUCUCUUUCUGCUGCCUUGGUUCUGUCCCUAGUGGGGAGCCACCAGCCAAGUUCUCCAAGGUGAGAGACACUCUCUGGAGGAGAGUCAGCUUGAGGGAGAAGUGUGACUUUUGUGAUGAAAGGCUUGCCUUGGGCAGGGCCUCUUUUGGAUUUAAGAUGGCCUAAGACUCAACAAGACCCGGCUGCUUAAACCAGAGCUGAAAUCUACCACCAGGGGCUGGAGAGAAUGCUCCUGUGUUUUGCAGUGGUUCAUUUCCUACCCCUUUUUUAAAAAAGGGAAGUUUUAAAUAUCUGCUUAAAAUGUUGUUUUGCCUCCUGCCCUGUUCUUCAGAUUCCUUUGCCUAUUCAGCAGAGGGAAAUUUGGUCUGGACUGGAGGAUUUGUAAACUUCUCACAAAGUAAACUGGAUUAAUUUGUA